GCACGAGGAUAUGGUCGUUAAGCACUGUGACGUCACCAAUAACGCUGUGUUGGGCAAGAAGGUCAGGAGCGGCCGGCGCCGCUUCAGUGUCGGGCUGACAGCCAGCAGACGUAGUUCCUUGGGAGGUGUCCCGCUUCUUACAUCAUUUGCAGCUAUACCGGUCAUCAGGGUCUGGCGCGACAUUGGCCAACAGUCUUCUUGAGAAAUAACUUUGUGAACGGAGGACUAGUCAGGCGCACAAGGCACGGAACUAGUUCUGACGUGACGUAGUUGCAAGUCUCGAUAAGAGGUGGUUGGACAGUGUUGAACACGGGGCGCCUGACAACGUUGCAGGAAUAUCUGAAAGAAAAGGCAAGUUGUUAAAACUUUCAGUUAAUAUUUAUAAUUUAGCAGGAAACUGUUGGAAAGGAUAUUCUGCAGAAUUAUAGAAAGAGCAUCUGUGGGACAUUAGAAACGACGCAGCACAGAAAAUGGAUGAAGACGGGUGGCUGUAGCAGUAAGAAGGCCGGUGAAGCGGACUGCAAAAUUGGGGAGCAAGAUGCAAAAUAAAGGAAAGUUGUAAAUCUGUGUAUUGUGUACUUUGAAACUGUUCUUAGAACUAUAGAACCUGUUCCCUCUGUUAUGUUUAAUAUCUGGUGUAUGGUGUUAUGACUAUUGUUCGGCUGGUUUUCUGUAGGUAUCAAUGUGGUUCCGAUAAAUGUUGUUCGUAUUGGAAUAAAUAUCCCUUAAUUAUAGACGUUAAUGUUUACAGCGGUUUGUGUAUUCUUUAACGGCUGGCUAUGCACAGUUUGUCUAAAAUGCCAUGUUUAUUGUUGUAACAUUGUCUAGGCCCAGUGUCUGUGACGGUGGCUAGAAUUUGAAGGUUUGUUAAUAAAGUUCUUAUUGGAUAUGAAGUGUAUGAACUACAUGUCCCAAAU